AUAGCUUUCUAAAUACCCUGAAGGGACCGGAUCCUAUCUGAUCUCAAAAGCUAAGUAGGAAAACCCAAGCCUGGUUAGUACUUGAACAGGGGAUCGCUAAGGAAUGUCAAGUGCUGUAGGCUAUA
rnacentral:rRNA from 11 species